UACGUAGGGGGCUAGCGUUGUCCGGAAUCAUUGGGCGUAAAGAGCGUGUAGGCGGCCCGGUAAGUCCGCUGUGAAAGUCGGGGGCUCAACCCUCGAAUGCCGGUGGAUACUGUCGGACUAGAGUACGGAAGAGGCGAGUGGAAUUCCUGGUGUAGCGGUGAAAUGCGUAGAUAUCAAGAGGAACACCUGAGGCGAAGGCGGGUUGCUAGGCUGACACUGACGCUGAGGCGCGAAAGCUAGGGUAGCAAACGGG
rnacentral:rRNA from 1 species